GUCUGGAGUCUUUUUGCUCCUGAGACAUUUGUGAUGAAGAGCUGCAGAAACUAAACUGACAUCAGUCUCUUCUUCCUGAUUCCAGAGGAGCUUCAUGACAGAAGAAAGUUUGGUUUGACCAUCAGACUGAAAAUAACUCAGAAACUUUCAUCACACUCAUCAUUCAGUCUCAGUAUCUUUCCUCUGAAGCAUGGACAAACUCAUUGUUAUUCUGUUUUUGUCUUCUAUCAUGGGUAUGUAUGAAAUUAUCAGCGUCAUCAAGUUUUCCCACUUUAACUGAUUCAACACAAGUUAUUUAAAUGUGACAUAUAUUUUCUCUCCUAUUUUGACAGAUAAUAUCAAUGUGAUUGAGAAUAACCUGACCUUUAAUCUUGACUGAGUCUUUUCAGAGAAUAACUGAGUUUUUAUUGUUUCCUGCAGGUGUAAACUGUGAAGAUCUCAC